ACAGAGGUUGCUUGGUUGCUUAGUAACUGCUGAAAUGGUUGUGCGAGAGUUUUGUAUAUAAAACAGAUAAAACCAUUAGUUUGGUUUUUAAGUACGUGUAAACAAAUGCUUUUUAUUUAUUUAACUGUGUUGAUUAGAGUAGCCUACCCGUCUGCAGAAAAUGCAAGAACCUCCAACAACCUUUGAAGAAUUUUUACAGUUUCAAAAGCUGACUGCCUGGCCCAUCACCCUUGAAGAAGAUCUACAAAUAACAGGAGAACUAGCAGUUUACAGAUCACCUAAUGCUAUUGCAGAUUAUCUCUGCAAAAAUGCACCCUUUCCAAUGGAGGUUAUCGAUUCUAUGGAGCAAAGGCUCAAUACAGUAUCCUCACAGUUAGAAGAUCAUGCUUCAAAAAUAUUGAUCUGUAAAACAAAACCCAAGAUCAAAGGCCAGCCAUCGGAGAGUUUUCUAAAAGGCAUUUCAGGUGCUCUAACUGGGUCUUGCCAACAGCUCAGAAAGAAAGCUACAGCUAUAACAAGAAAUACAAAUGUUAUGGUCUGCAGUUUCCCAGGUUUUGCUCCUCAUGAAUUAACUGAUCUGCCAGGCCAACUAGAUGCAGUACAGCUGUUAAACUGUAUUUCAGAAGCCCAGCAUUUUAAUGCUGCCUUUUUAAAGAUUUGGAAAACAUUCUUCCUGUCUGAAGCAUCUGUUGCAGUCUUUAAGGAUGGAUUUUGGUGGUACUUCCUUCAUAAGUUCAAGCCUAAUCAAGAAGAUCAGGACCUUCUGUUCAAUCGAAUUGCUGACAGCUUUGUGUCCCUUUUACUGACUGUGCAUUUAGAUGUAAAGGACAAGUUUUUUCAGGUAUAUGCUGAUUGUUUAGCUCAGGCCAUUUUCUCUGCAUUCUAUGAAGCAUUUUCAAUGUCCCACAAUCACUUUGGUGACGAUUUUAAAACUGAACUGACUGACCUGAUCUGCCUUUGGGUUUCAGGGAUAAAACCUUUGCCAUUUAUUUGGAAGAAAUGGAAUCUGAAGUGGUUAUACCAAUUAGUUGCCAGAGCUCGAGAGAUGGAAAAAGUGCCCACGACCAGAUCAAUCUCAAGUGGUUCAAUGGACUUCAACUUUGAGGAAUUAAUAAAAGAUACAAGGUAUAUACAGAUACUAGACACAACUUCAACAAUUACAACUGGAAGGAAGACAGAUGAUUUGUCAAAGAAAUCUAGAGAGUCUCAUUACAUUGGCCCAGGUCCAGAAUUUCAACAAGUGCUUUUCAAUCCUGGUGGUCGAAGCCCCCUAGUAGCCCACUAUCUUCAAAUGCAGGGCAUUGCUCACCCUGCAGCCUUCGCCAGACCUUAUAUAAAGAGGACAGAAAUCAGCAAAAUACUCACACCAUGCACACAAACUUACCAAGAUGCUAUUGGUAAGAACCGUAAGUUCCACAAGAAACGUCUACAGGAUUAUGUUAAGUUAUGUGAACAGACCCAGGAGGAGAUUUUGGAAAUACAAAAAGAAAGGAUUCGUAACAACUUGACUUUUAACAGGACGGAAAAAGCAAUUAUUAUGAACCCUGAUGAAGUAAAGAUCCAGAGCGAAUUGUUGGUUGAGAAAUGGGAACAUGCAACUUUGUCCAGUAGUCGGCAUCAGAGAAAGGAUGAGCGUGAGACCGAAGCAGAAGAAACCAAAAAAGCAGACAGUGAUUCUGAAGUUACUCCAGGCCCAGUGGAAGUAUAGAUUUACAAAAUCAGCCUGUGAUUGUCGUCUUGAUUCAGACAUUCCCCCCCAAGUCUGUCUGUAAUUAACUGUGGAAAGCAACUUUCAGCCAGUGGUGUCUACUUACAGACAGAUGUCCACCAGCUGAUCCAGUUCUGGGCAGCUGCACUCGUACAUGUCUCUGCAGCUCACAUGGCUUUGGUUCAUCAGUUCUCCCAGCAGCUGGACUGCUUUGGCAGGUGUCUGGUCACAAAUAUCUUUAAACUCAAGUACUCUUGCAGCUUCACUGUACACAUGUUUUGCACGCUGGUAGAGUUUAAAGGUGGUAACUAGAAUAAAAAUGAAACUGUUACUACAACA